rnacentral:tRNA from 1 species
GUUUCCCGUGGUGUAGUGGUUCUCACGUGCGCUUCACACGCGCAAGGUCCUCGGUUCGAUCCCGAGCGGAGACA